GACGAACGCUGGCGGCGUGCUCUAUACAUGCAAGUCGAACGAUGAAGUUCUUUCGGGAAUGGAUUAGUGGCGAACGGGUGAGGAACACGUGAGAAACCUGCCUUUCAUUCUGGGAUAACACCGGGAAACCGGUGCUAAUACCGGAUACUCCGUCUUGGCGGCAUCGCCGAGCCGGGAAAAAAUUCUGAUGAAAGAUGGUCUCGCGGCCUAUCAGCAAGUUGGUGAGGUAAAGGCUCACCAAGGCGACGACGGGUAGCCGGCCUGAGAGGGCGACCGGCCACACGGGGACAGAGACACGGCCCAGACUCCUACGGGAGGCAGCAGUAGGGAAUAUUGGGCAAUGGGCGCAAGCCUGACCCAGCGACGCCGCGUGAGGGAUGAAGGUCUUCGGAUUGUAAACCUCUUUCAGUAGGGAAGAAGCGAAAGUGACGGUACCUAAAGAAGAAGCACCGGCUAACUAUGUGCCAGCAGCCGCAGUAA
rnacentral:rRNA from 1 species